rnacentral:rRNA from 1 species
GGUUAAGCGACUAAGCGUACACGGUGGAUGCCCUGGCAGUCAGAGGCGAUGAAGGGCGUGCUAAUCUGCGAUAAGCGCCGGUAAGGUGAUAUGAACCGUUAUAACCGGCGAUACCCGAAUGGGGAAACCCAGUGUGAUUCGUCACACUAUCAUUAACUGAAUCCAUAGGUUAAUGAGGCGAACCGGGGGAACUGAAACAUCUAAGUACCCCGAGGAAAAGAAAUCAACCGAGAUUCCCCCAGUAGCGGCGAGCGAACGGGGAGGAGCCCAGAGCCUGAAUCAGCAUGUGUGUUAGUGGAAGCGUCUGGAAAGGCGCGCGAUACAGGGUGACAGCCCCGUACACAAAAGCGCAUGUGCUGUGAGCUCGAUGAGUAGGGCGGGACACGUGGUAUCCUGUCUGAAUAUGGGGGGACCAUCCUCCAAGGCUAAAUACUCCUGACUGACCGAUAGUGAACCAGUACCGUGAGGGAAAGGCGAAAAGAACCCCGGCUAGGGGAGUGAAAAAGAACCUGAAACCGUGUACGUACAAGCAGUGGGAGCACAGGUUUACCUGUGUGACUGCGUACCUUUUGUAUAAUGGGUCAGCGACUUAUAUUCUGUAGCAAGGUUAACCGAAUAGGGGAGCCGGAGGGAAACCGAGUCUUAAUUGGGCGUUAAGUUGCAGGGUAUAGACCCGAAAC